UCGGGAGGCAGCAGUGGGGAAUAUUGCACAAUGGGCGCAAGCCUGAUGCAGCCAUGCCGCGUGUAUGAAGAAGGCCUUCGGGUUGUAAAGUACUUUCAGUCGUGAGGAAGGUGUUAAGGUUAAUAACCUUAGCAAUUGACGUUAGCGACAGAAGAAGCACCGGCUAACUCCGUGCCAGCAGCCGCGGUAAUACGGAGGGUGCGAGCGUUAAUCGGAAUUACUGGGCGUAAAGGGCACGCAGGCGGUUAAUUAAGUUGGAUGUGAAAUCCCCGGGCUUAACCUGGGAAUGGCAUUCAAGACUGGUUAGCUAGAGUCUUGUAGAGGGGGUAGAAUUCCAUGUGUAGCGGUGAAAUGCGUAGAGAUGUGGAGGAAUACCGGUGGCGAAGGCAGCCCCUGGGACAAAGACUGACGCUCAUGUGCGAAAGCGUGGGGAGCAAACAGGGAUUAGAUACC
rnacentral:rRNA from 1 species